rnacentral:pre_miRNA from 1 species
ACAACAACAUUCGGACCGUCGGUCUACCGAGCAAUAUCACCUGCUCGGUGGAAGAUCUUCCCUUUGUCGUAUAUA